GAUGCUGAGACAAAACUUAAAAAUUUUCGUAGGUA
rnacentral:tRNA from 1 species